CGGUAAUUCCAGCUCCAAGAGCGUAUAUUAAUACUGCUGUAGUUAAAACGCCCGUAGUAUACCUAAGAGUGGGUGUGUAGCAAUUAGUUUUACCAGAGGACGGUUGGCGAGAGUUUAUCACUCUUGUUUGCCUACUUUUGGUAGACUUUAGUCGGGCUGGAUCUUUGGUCCUCGUCUGACAGUUGCUACGUGCUUACUUACCACGGUUCAUCCGUGAGGCCCUUGGCUUGCAACUGUAAAUAAAUCGUUGUGCUUAAAGCGGGCUAUGAUACUCUGCCAGAGCGAUUUAGCAUGGGACUGCAGAGUAGCUGUAUUUGAGUGAAGGUUGCACCUCGGUGUGGCUGGAGCUUGGUACAGCGCUUGUAAUGGAGCUCAGGGUGAGGCCCCGGGUACCAUGAGGCUAGAGGUGAAAUUCUGAGACCCUCAUGUGACCAACUAAGGCGAAAGCUGUCGUGGGCCACCACAAGCUCGUCUAUCAGGGACGAAAGUUGGGGGAUCGAAGACGAUUAGAUACCGUCGUAGUCCCAGCUAUAAACGAUACCAACCGAGUAUUUGGGAAGACACUAUCCCAGCGAUCUUCUCAGAACUCAAGGGAAACCUUAAGUCUUUGGGUUCUGGGGGGAGUAUAGUCGCAAGACCGAAACUUAAAGGAAUUGACGGAAAGGCACCACCAGGAGUGGAGUCUGCGGCUUAAUUCGACUCAACACGGGGAAACUCACCAGGUCAGGACACAAGUUUGAUUGACAGGUUAAUAGCCCUUUCUUGAUUGUGUGGUGGGUAGUGCAUGGCCGUUUCCAGUUCGUGGAGUGAUCUGUCUUGUUAAUUCAGAUAACGAACGAGACCUAAGCCUUUAACUAGCCGUAGGCCUUUUCCUUCGGGGAAGGGUUAGUUUGUCGGAACAGGCUUCGGUCUGUUCCAAAACCUACGAGACUUUUGUCAGCUUCUUAAAGGGACUUCAUU
rnacentral:rRNA from 1 species